rnacentral:rRNA from 1 species
CAGUAGCCGCGGUAAUACAGAGGGUGCGAGCGUUAAUCGAAUUUACUGGGCGUAAAGCGUGCGUAGGCGGCUUCUUAAGUCGGAUGUGAAAUCCCUGAGCUUAACUUAGGAAUUGCAUUCGAUACUGGGAAGCUAGAGUAUGGGAGAGGAUGGUAGAAUUCCAGGUGUAGCGGUGAAAUGCGUAGAGAUCUGGAGGAAUACCGAUGGCGAAGGCAGCCAUCUGGCCUAAUACAGACGCUGAGGUACGAAAGCAUGGGGAGCAAACAGGAUUAGAUACCCCGGUAGUCCCUGUCUCUUAUAC